AUUGAACGCUGGCGGCAGGCCUAACACAUGCAAGUCGAGCGGAUGAAGGGAGCUUGCUCCUGGAUUCAGCGGCGGACGGGUGAGUAAUGCCUAGGAAUCUGCCUGGUAGUGGGGGAUAACGUCCGGAAACGGGCGCUAAUACCGCAUACGUCCUGAGGGAGAAGGUGGGGGAUCUUCGGACCUCACGCUAUCAGAUGAGCCUAGGUCGGAUUAGCUAGUUGGUGGGGUAAAGGCCUACCAAGGCGACGAUCCGUAACUGGUCUGAGAGGAUGAUCGGUCACACUGGAACUGAGACACGGUCCAGACUCCUACGGGAGGCAGCAGUGGGGAAUAUUGGACAAUGGGCGAAAGCCUGAUCAGCCAUGCCGCGUGUGUGAAGAAGGUCUUCGGAUUGUAAAGCACUUUAAGUUGGGAGGAAGGGCAGUAAGUUAAUACCUUGCUGUUUUGACGUUACCAACAGAAUAAGCACCGGCUAACUUCGUG
rnacentral:rRNA from 1 species